UACAGAGGGUGCAAGCGUUGUUCGGAAUUAUUGGGCGUAAAGGGCGUGUAGGCGGUCUGCUAAGUCAUGUGUGAAAUCCCUCGGCUUAACCGAGGAACGACGCAUGAAACUGGCAAGCUAGAGUACCAAAGAGGGGGGUGGAAUUCCCGGUGUAGCGGUGAAAUGCGUAGACAUUGGCUGGAACACCGGUGGCGAAGGCGGCUUCCUGGACCGACACUGACGCUGAGGCGCGAAAGCUAGGGGAGCAAACGGG
rnacentral:rRNA from 1 species